UCCUGAAGGGGAAAGUGAAGAGUGUUGUAAGAUUUCUAUCAUUGUGAUAGAAGAACUGCUUAACAGCCAGAGCAUGGUUUCAAUUCAAAAUAGCACAAGCAGAAGAAAGAAAACACUGUUUAGUGAGAAACAUAUACACACGUUAUUAACAAACCAAGUCAGUAUGAUAAAUCUUGUCCCAUUACACUAUGUAACAUGUUUUUUGUUCCUGGGUUAUAAAUAUCAUUUCCUAAUUGGUUCUAUCAUAAAAACAUGGAAAAAGUUAUUAAAUCCCAAAAACACAUUUUGCUCUACUUUUUUCAAGGAAUAUCCGAUAAGUCUCAACCAAUUCAACAUAGUUUGUGGCAGCCACAAAAACUAAGUUUCCGGAGUAUAACAACUACUUGCAAAGUAAGUACCACACAAUUAAACAGAAAAAUCACUUUUAAAACAGGAACAAAAUUGUUUUCAAAAUUUGUUACAUAGUGUUAUCAAAUAACAGCAAUCUAGAAAAUGUAGACCUUCUGUUCUAAUUCAGGGGUAAAAAAAAGUUUAGCCUCACUCCCUUUUGUAGAGAUUACUCUUGGAGCGAUAACUUGCUUCUAAACAUUCCUGUGACAUCCUAGCCUAGCGAUAAAGUUGACUACAAAGAUUCUAAAAUCAAAACUAGAGAUAAAAAAGCAGGGAGGGCAGCAGGAACAAAAACUCUCCUCUCAACACUAAUUGCAGAGGGUGCGCCUUGCUCUAAAUGAACAUUUUCGCACACAGUCAUUUGGUCUUCAAUAUACUGUAUGACAACUAAGUAAAAAGUCAACACCCAACAGCUGGCUUUCAUAAUCAAGCCAAGCUAGCAGUUGACGGGAUCGGGUGUGGAGAUUAAAUCCCAUUCUCCAUUCAGCAAAAGAAUGGCAAGAAUUUGCCUCUAAACUCACUAGGAGAAUUAUGCAACUCAGCUAGAGGCAAAGGAUGGGGGCACUACAAGACUGUUUUAAUUAUGUGGCAUCCUGGUGGCCUUUGUGACUCACUGAACUAUAGCCAGCUAGCUCAACUAGUAGCCAAAUUCAGCGAGAGGUGUAGAUUUAACCUGGGAGAUUGCUACCUGAAUAAUGAUUACUUAAUUUAUCAGCUGCAGCAAAAACAAUCUUACGGAAUUUGAAACUAAUAUAUUUUAUUUGACGUAAGAUUUUAUAGGUCACAGUAUAUAAAAUUUUACUAACUUCCUCUUCCCCCUUUCUUUUCUUCCAUUUCUAUCAUGACACUGGCUACAAACCAAUGUUUGCAAGUAAAGUGGCAUAUGGAUUAAAAAGUAAGAACUGCAAGCUUCACCUAUCUAUAACGCUUCAGAGCAUGGAGGUGAAAUCGUUGUGGACUAAGGUUGACAUUUUACUCACCUUGCCUUUAGAGCCUGCGCCAACUGCCACCACAGUGGCUUGUAGUACUUUUCCUUGAGACUUU